UGUCCAUAUCACAUUGGAACACCGGUUCCCAUAUGAUCACUGAAGUUAAGCAAGGUCAAACCAGGUCAGUACCUCAAUGGGUGACCACUUGGGAAUACUAGGUGCUAUA